ACACAUGCAAGUCGAGCGAUGAACAUUGAAUGAUCCCUUCGGGGUGAUUUCGAUCGGAUUAGCGGCGAACGGGUGAGUAACGCGUGAGGAACCUGCCUCUUACAACGGGAUAGCCUCGGGAAACCGGGAUUAAUACCGUAUAAGACUCCGACAUCUCCUGAUGACGAAGUCAAAGCGUUAGCGGUAAGAGAUGGCCUCGCGUCUGAUUAGCUUGUUGGCGGGGUAACGGCCCACCAAGGCGACGAUCAGUAACCGGCCUGAGAGGGUGAACGGUCACAUUGGAACUGAGACACGGUCCAAACUCCUACGGGAGGCAGCAGUGGGGAAUCUUGCACAAUGGGGGAAACCCUGAUGCAGCGACGCCGCGUGAGCGAUGAAGGUUUUCGAAUCGUAAAGCUCUGUCCUAUGGGAAGAUAAUGACGGUACCAUGGGAGGAAGCCCCGGCUAACUACGUGCCAGCAGCCGCGGUAAUACGUAGGGGGCGAGCGUUGUCCGGAAUUACUGGGCGUAAAGGGUUCGCAGGCGGCAUGGCAAGUCCGAUGUAAAAGGCGAAGGCUCAACCUUCGUAAGCAUCGGAAACUGUCAAGCUUGAGUGAAGGAGAGGCAAGUGGAAUUCCUAGUGUAGCGGUGGAAUGCGUAGAUAUUAGGAGGAAUACCGGUGGCGAAGGCGACUUGCUGGACUUCAACUGACGCUGAGGAACGAAAGCGUGGGUAGCAAACAGGAUUAGAUACCCUGGUAGUCCACGCCGUAAA
rnacentral:rRNA from 1 species